rnacentral:lncRNA from 1 species
CUUACUCUAUGUGUCACAUGGUGAAAUGGCAUACCCUUGACAGAUGUCAGUGUAGGGUCUUCUUAACUACUUAUCCUCUCUGAAUGGCAUGCAAACAAUGAGUUUCAAUCUAGCUGAUUGUUAUGCCUGAAUUGAGCAGAGAAAACUCCAGGCCCAUGUCAUAGCUAAACGAUGUAAAUAUGGUCUGAACUGAAGAGAUAUGCUCACAUCCGCCAUCUCUUGGCAAAAUGGAAUAUCUGAAUUUUGAGUAUACUGAAUUCAAUUCAGCAGAUGUAUCUCCCUGCUUUGCCAUGCAGCCUGCUGUCCUAGACACUUCAAGGGCUUAGAAAAUGAGUCCACAUUCUCUGUCUGUAAACAGACGUUUGUGACAUCACAGAUGUUACAUGCUCACAGCAGCUUGCCCGUUUUCUGGCUUGAACUUUUUUCACGUCAAAAAGACCAAUGCCUGGCCUUUUCUAGACAGAUAAACAACUCUGUACCUGGAACAAAAAGACAAACCUACCAGCUCCGUAGUUGCCUAACACUCCUCAGUGAGGAACCAAGUGGGCCCUGCCUGGAUGCUAAUGGCAAGUUUGGCUCUUGGGAGCUGAAACUAAAAGGGACAAUGUAUUGUGCUCAGAGGUACUAUACACAGGAGGAGCCUGAAGCUGACUAUGAGCCAAGUCUGUAGAGAGUACCCAAAGUCAAAGAUUCCUUUAAGUCUCCCAGUCUUCAAAACCAAAGGUGAAGCGUGGAACUGGAUCCGGAUGACAAAGCAGAAAGACGAGAACAUCCAAUAAUGAUGGCAAGUUGCAGCAGACACAGCCCCUGCCUGCACGCUGCCUGACCUCACCAGCACUUGGGCACCACAUCACCCAGGAAUACUACUCAGCUUGAUUGCAUACUCCUCAAACCCCUUUCCACAUAACCUGGUCAUUCAGAUUACCUGGGGCAUCAUCAGAAAACUACUUUAUCAGAGUAGUUCAUGAGAGAGGUGAAGUGACUUGGGCAAGUCAUAAUUGGUGACAGAACUAGAACUAAAAAUCAAAUUCCCUAAUUCCUAAUUCUCCACAUCCAUCCUUUUUUUUUUGAGGAAGAUUAGCCCUGAGCUAACUGCUGCCAAUCCUUCUCUUUUUGCUGAGGAAGACUGGACCUGAGCUAACAUCCGUGCCCAUCUUCCUCCACUUUACUCGUGGGGUGCCUACCACAGCAUGGCCUGCCAAGUGGUGCCAUGUCCAUACCCGGGAUCCGAACCGAUGAACCCUGGGCCACCGAAGCGGAAUGUGCGCACCUAACCGCUGUGCCACCGGGCUGGCCCCCACGUCCAUCCAUUUUACUCCCAGCUUCCCUGCUCUGAGUGAAUAUGACAAACUCAUCCCAUAAGAUCAACAAGCAGGACCAUGUUAACAGAGAAAGGGUUGAUAUUUGCGUAGCGUACAGAUUUUUCUGCAAACUAGCCACAAAUGCCAUCAACACAGGCCAUAUCUAGCUGUAAUUUUAUUUAAAUGUAGUUUACUUUCAUAAAAAAUUGUGUAGCAAUACAAAAUAGUAGUCUUAACAUUUUGAUCAAUUUAGCAGAUAAUGGGAUCAUGGGUACUGAGUAGUAUCACCAAAGACUACAAGGAAUCGUAUAAAAAUCAAGCUGUAGCAAAGAAAUUGCAAUGUGUCACUAUGUUUUUGGUAAUUGUAUCAUUCCAAAAUAAACCACUCAUGGGAUGAGGUUUUAUAUAGAACCCAUCUGGUGCUUGUAUCCACAACGGCCUUUUUUAAUAUUCACUCACAUUGGUG